CCUACGGGGGGCAGCAGUGGGGAAUAUUGGACAAUGGGGGCAACCCUGAUCCAGCCAUGCCGCGUGUGUGAAGAAGGCCCUCGGGUUGUAAAGCACUUUCAGUGAGGAAGAACGCCUGGUGGUUAAUACCCAUCAGGAAAGACAUCACUCACAGAAGAAGCACCGGCUAACUCCGUGCCAGCAGCCGCGGUAAUACGGAGGGUGCGAGCGUUAAUCGGAAUUACUGGGCGUAAAGCGCGCGUAGGUGGCUUGAUAAGCCGGUUGUGAAAGCCCCGGGCCCAACCUGGGAACGGCAUCCGGAACUGUCAAGCUAGAGUGCAGGAGGGGAAGGUAGAAUUCCCGGUGUAGCGGUGAAAUGCGUAGAGAUCGGGAGGAAUACCAGUGGCGAAGGCGGCCUUCUGGACUGACACUGACACUGAGGUGCGAAAGCGUGGGUUGCAAACAGGAUUAGAUACCCCUGUAGUC
rnacentral:rRNA from 1 species